UAAAUAGACUGUAAAUUACAAAUAUGAUAUUAUAAAGUAGUUUUUACGAAAUAUUCUUUAAAAUUUUUACUGCAAAGGAAAAUAAUUAAAAAAGCAUAGUAAUAAAUAAUAUGUACCUUGUGUAUGAUGGUUUAACUAAACAAUAUUGAUAUCCAGAGGACUAGAUUGAUCAGGAGUUAUAAAUAAACAGUUUAGAACUUAUAUGAUAAUGUAGCAUUAUUACAUAAAGAUUUAUUUAUAGAAAUGAAACGUUAACGUCUGAUUAUAGCUAGUUUUUUCAAAAAGCAUCAAUGCUUUUAUCAUAGUAUUAGGGAUAAGCUUAAUAUUAUUUAUUUAAAACAAGUUAUUUUUAAAUCAAGGCUUAUAAGUAGCCAAUAAUUAUUAUUAUGUAAAAAUAUAAAAUACUUAAUGUUAAAUUUUAAUUAAUGAAAAUAUUAUAUAUAUUUAGAAUAUAAAAAAUAAUGUUUAAAAUAAGUACUAAAGAAAAUAAUAAAUUUAUUUGAAUUUAAUUAUAUAAAAGGAACUCGGCAAAUAUUUAAUUCGACUGUUUACCAAAAACAUUGCAAUAAGAAUUUAUUUAGUGUAUAGACUGCUCAGUGACUAGAUAUGUUAAACAGCUAUAGAAAAUCUAUACAAAGGUAGCGUAAUCAACUGUUCUUUAAUGGAGAACCUGUAUCAAUGUCUAGACGAAAUUAAAACUGUCUCUUAUAUAAAAAAGAAAUUUAAUUUUUAAGUGAAGAAGCUUAAAUUAUAUAAAAAGACGAAGAGACCCCGUUGAAUUUCAGAAUAAUUUGCUAUUGCAAAUAUUUCUUAUGCUGGGGCCGUAAAGGAAAUAGUUUUCCUGCAAUUAAAAUUUAUAAUGACCUUCUAAUAGAAAUUAUAAGAAUAAAUUACCACGGGGAUAACAGUGUAUUGUUUUCAGGAAGUGCUUAUUGAAGAAAACAUUCACCACCUCGAUGUUGGACUAAGAUUUCCUUAUGGUGCAAAAGUUAUAAAGGUAAGUCUGUUCGGCUUUUAAAAUCUUACGUGAUCUGAGUUAAAAUCGGUGUGAGCCAGAUUGGAUUCUAUCUUUUAUGAAAUAAAUAUUUUUUAGUACGAAAGGACCAAAAAUAAAAAGAAUUUUUAAU
rnacentral:rRNA from 1 species